rnacentral:lncRNA from 1 species
CGCAGGUGCAAGGAGCUGGCACCUGGGCACACACCUGGCCACACACCUGUGCAGAGCCGGUGGCAGGCCCUCCCGGCGCAGGAAUGGCGUGCCCCCAGCUGCCGCCACUUCUGCUUUUGGUGCUGGUGGUGCUGCUGAAAGCUGGUGUGAAUUACAAUACUCCCUUUACAGUUCCGAAUCCCUGACCCCGCACUGGAGCCCCACUUCCCACAGCCCCGGAACGGAGCCCUUGACCUCCACUGACCAGACCUUGGAGCCCCCUGGCCCAGCUCCAGGUGACACUGGGCCCCGUGAGUUACACAGGAACCCGAGUGUGGUGGUGGUCGUGUGUUUGCUGGUGUCUCUUUUGCUCAUCGGGUCUGUGGUCAUGGCUGUGAGAUUCUGUCACCGGAAUGAGUCCAAGUUUGAGAACCUGGACGAGGUGUCCAUGGGAUCCGUGAAUGACAGAUUGUCCUUUGCCCACCACCUCCAGGAGUGAGCCCUGAGGAGCCAACAGAGAUGGGGGCAUGGAUGGGGCUGGGGUUCCUGGGGAGGAGCAGAACCUGAGGAAAUAAAGCCCCUACCAUUCAUCCAAGGCCUCGUGUGAAAACACGAGUUAUGGACUCGUGUGAAAACAUUAACUGAGCACCUACUAUGUGCUGGGCUCUGUGCUGGGGUCACAGUGGGGACCAUGUCUUUACUUUCAGGGGAUCCACAGACUCAAGGCAGGGACAGAUAAGAAUCAGGAGCUCACUUGGCUGGGUGCGGUGGUUCACACCUGUAAUCCCAGCACUUUGGGAGGCCAAGGCGGGCAGAUCUCCUGAGCUUAGGAGUUUGAGACCAGCCUGGCUAACAUGGCGAAACUCUGUCUGUACUAAAAAUACAAAAAUUAGCUGAGCGUGGUGGCAGGUGCCUGUAAUCCCAGCUACUCAGGAGGCUGAGGCAGAGAAUCGCUUGAACCAGGGAGGCGGAGGUUGCAGUGAGCUGAGAUCGCCCCAUUGUACUCCAGCCUGGGCAACAGAGCAAGACUCCAUCUCAAAAAAAAAAAAAAUAGGGCCAGGCGUAGUGGCUUACACCUGUAAUCCCAGCACUUUGGAAGGCAAAGGUGGGUGGAUCAUUUGAGAUCGGGAGUUCGAGACCAGCCUGGUCAACAUGGUGAAACCC